AGAGUUUGAUCCUGGCUCAGCCUGAACGCUGGCGGCGUGGCUAAGACAUGCAAGUCGCACGGACCCGCAAGGGUUAGUGGCGAACGGGUGAGUAAUGAAUCGCUAAUGUACCCCGGACUCUGGGAUAGCCGGCCGAAAGGUCGGGUAAUACCAGAUGAUAUACCUUUAUCGCAUGAUAGAGGUCUCAAAGGUCCGCCGGUCUGGGAGCAGGCGAUUUCGUAUCAGCUAGUUGGUGAGGUAACGGCUCACCAAGGCGACGACGCGUAGCCGGACUGAGAGGUUGGCCGGCCACAUUGGGACUGAGACACUGCCCAGACUCCUACGGGGGGCUGCAGUAACGAAUCUUCCGCAAUGUACGAAAGUAUGACGGAGCGACGCCGCGUGUAGGACGAAGCCCUUCGGGGUGUAAACUACUGUCAGGGGUUAGAAAGUUCUGAUCAACCCCAGAGGAAGGCACGGCUAACUCUGUGCCAGCAGCCGCGGUAAGACAGAGGUGCCAAGCGUUAGGCGGAAUCACUGGGCUUAAAGCGUGUGUAGGCGGAAGGGUAAGUACCUUGUGAAAUCCCACGGCUCAACCGUGGAACUGCUUGGUAUACUGCUUUUCUUGAGCCACUUAGGGGCUACCGGAACAAAUGGUGGAGCGGUGAAAUGCGUAGAUAUCAUUUGGAACGCCAAUGGUGAAAACAGGUAGCUGGGAGUGUGCUGACGCUGAGACACGAAAGCCAGGGGAGCGAACGGGAUUAGAUACCCCGGUAGUCCUGGCCGUAAACGAUGUCGACUAGAUCGUGGUGGCUCUGACGCCAUCACGGUCGAAGCAAAAGUGCUAAGUCGACCGCCUGGGAAGUACGGUCGCAAGGCUAAAACUCAAAGGAAUUGACGGAAGGGCGAA
rnacentral:rRNA from 1 species